rnacentral:tRNA from 1 species
AGGGAAAUCGUAUAAAUAAUACGCCUGAUUAAGAUAAGCAGGAGAUUUAGGUGAAAAUCCUAGUUUCCCCC